rnacentral:rRNA from 1 species
UACGUAGGGAGCAAGCGUUGUCCGGAAUCAUUGGGCGUAAAGCGCGCGUAGGUGGCUUCGUAAGUCCGUUGUGAAAGUCAAAGGCUCAACCUUUGAAAGCCGAUGGAUACUGCGGAGCUAGAGUACGGAAGAGGCGAGUGGAAUUCCUGGUGUAGCGGUGAAAUGCGUAGAGAUGUGGAGGAACACCAGUGGCGAAGGCGACUCUUUGGCCUGUAACUGACGCUGAGGCGCGAAAGCGUGGGGAGCAAACAGG